AUUGAACGCUGGCGGCAGGCCUAACACAUGCAAGUCGAACGAGUGGCGGACGGGUGAGUACUGUCUGGGAAACUGCCUGAUGGAGGGGGAUAACUACUGGAAACGGUAGCUAAUACCGCAUACCAUCGGAUGUGCCCAGAUGGGAUUAGCUAGUCGGUGGGGUAACGGCUCACCUAUGCGACGAUCCCUAGCUGGUCUGAGAGGAUGACCAGCCACGCUGGAACUGAGGCACAGUCCAGACUCCUACGGGAGGCAGAAGUGGGGGAGAGUGCACAAUGGGCGCAAGCCUGAUGCAGCCAUGCCGCGUGUAUGAAGAAGGCCUUCGGGUUGUAAAGUACUUUCAGCGGGAAGGCGUUACCCGCAGAAGAAGCACCGGCUAACUCCGUGCCAGCAGCCGCGGUAAUUC
rnacentral:rRNA from 1 species